rnacentral:rRNA from 1 species
AGAGUUUGAUCCUGGCUCAGGACGAACGCUGGCGGCGCGCCUAACACAUGCAAGUCGAACGGAGCUUAGAGAGCUUGCUUUUUAAGCUUAGUGGCGAACGGGUGAGUAACGCGUGAGUAACCUGCCCUAGAGUGGGGGACAACAGUUGGAAACGACUGCUAAUACCGCAUAAGCCCACGGUACCGCAUGGUACAGUGGUAAAAACUCCGGUGGUAUGAGAUGGACCCGCGUCUGAUUAGGUAGUUGGUGGGGUAACGGCCUACCAAGCCGACGAUCAGUAGCCGGUCUGAGAGGAUGAACGGCCACACUGGAACUGAGACACGGUCCAGACUCCUACGGGAGGCAGCAGUGGGGAAUCUUCCGCAAUGGGCGAAAGCCUGACGGAGCAACGCCGCGUGAGUGAUGACGGCCUUCGGGUUGUAAAACUCUGUGAUCCGGGACGAAAAGGCAGAGUGCGAAGAACAAACUGCAUUGACGGUACCGGAAAAGCAAGCCACGGCUAACUACGUGCCAGCAGCCGCGGUAAUACGUAGGUGGCAAGCGUUGUCCGGAAUUAUUGGGCGUAAAGCGCGCGCAGGCGGCUUCCCAAGUCCCUCUUAAAAGUGCGGGGCUUAACCCCGUGAUGGGAAGGAAACUGGGAAGCUGGAGUAUCGGAGAGGAAAGUGGAAUUCCUAGUGUAGCGGUGAAAUGCGUAGAGAUUAGGAAGAACACCGGUGGCGAARGCGACUUUCUGGACGAAAACUGACGCUGAGGCGCGAAAGCGUGGGGAGCAAACAGGAUUAGAUACCCUGGUAGU